rnacentral:lncRNA from 1 species
AAAAAUAGAUUUUUUUUUUACUUACCCGGACAGCUCGAGCAGCUCAGGCAACGGGUCGCCGUAGAUUUCCUCAAGACAUACCCCAAGAAUUCCCCUUACGCAGUGAUAAUGUAAGAUCUAGCUUUUUUUUGUAAUUUUUAUCAAUCCCUUGUCUUCCUUUUUUUAUAAUAGUUGACACUUUAAUCCUAAUGUAUUAUGAGGGUUUUCAG